CCCCUCUCCAGCUUGGGAAUCACUGCUGAGCAUUUAUCAAAUUGUAUUAUAAUCCAAUGUUUGUGUGCCUGGGUCUCCUACUACUGGUAAAUUCAGAAGUCAUGUCAUAGUUCUAGAUCACCAACAUGUCGCACUGUAUCAAGAACAGUGUCAGUAUUCACAAGCUGUGUGACCUUGUUCAAGUCUAUCUGUCUCUUCUGGCCUCAGUUGAUUUGAUAUAAAAUGGGGAGAAUAAUGCUUACCAGAUAAUGUCAGAAAUAUCAAGUGAGAUCUUGAAUGUGAAAUGGCUUUAAAUGGUGUAUAGGAGUGAAUUGCUAUGCGUCUGCCAUCUGUGAUGUAAAGGGGCUAUGGUCCAGGAAGGAAAAAAAUUAAAUGAGCAAUAGCAUGAAGAAAAGGAAGUUAUUUUGACCUCUGCUUCUCAUGUGUACAUUCAUUCAGCAGAUAUAACUCAACAUCUACUGUGUGCUAGUCACCAUGCUAGGAGAUGAAGAUACAGAGAAACAUAAAAUAUGGAACCAGUUUUUAUAAGCCUGGAAACUGAGGGUAGAGGUGCAUGAGUAACACAAUGUGAUGAGAAGUGUAGUGGAGGGAUGUAAAGGCUGAGGGAUCCUAGAGGAGGGAGUAACUGACUGUGACUUGGGGGGCCAGGAGAAUUUGGAUGCUUGGAAAAUGAGGAUGUUUUCACUUGCAGAUAAAGCAAAAGUAGUAAGGAGGGGAGAAAGUCUCAGCCAAAGGGAAGAGCAGGUGCUAAGGCACUGGGGUGACCCUGUUCAGAAUAAGUGGUCCUCUGUCAUGAUAGGCAGAUAGCUUGUCUUGCUAGUGAAAGACUUAAAAUACUUCAUAAAAAAGUUAGUUUGGAGAGCUUUCUCUGGGACAUCGUAAAAGACAGCCUGGAAUGAGGUACUAAAGGCAGUCAGCCCAGUGAAGGGAGUUUGCAACAGAUCAGGUAGGUAGACCUGCAUUUAGUUACUAGUCACAGAAAUGGAGAGGGAGAGAUAUUGAAAAGUCAGGAUGCCUUAGCGACAGAUCCCUAAGUCUUCGGAACUUCAGGGCAGUACUGCCUGUGUGGGAACUCUCCCAUGUCUCCUUGAUUUCACGGCCACCUUUGCAGGCGCCCUCUCUCGUCUCGCCGCCAGCCCCCGCCUCCUUUCUCCGUAAGCUUGGGUCUCCCUGGGAGCGGGUCUGCCCUUGGGUGAGGCCUCUGGGCUCUGUGCCCUACAGCUCGGCCGACAUUCGGGGCAGACAGAAGCGGGGUUCGGCGCCCCCCGCGUGCACGUGUGCUAGCCCAGGCAGGAGGGAGCGCCUCGGCGGAGGAGUCAAGGAAGAGGGGAGGGAGAAACGCGCCAGAACCUCGGUCCCGGGCGCCCUGGUCGGCCGCGGAGGAGCUGCAGCCUCCAACAGGAAAGUGUGGUCCCUGCCAUGCUAUCUGCUCUGCUCACUGACUGAAGGCACCUGUAUCCCGGCUCUGCCAGGAAGCGAAGGCAGACUGGUGGCUUUCAAACAGAAAGGAGCUGGACCAGAAGGCUGGAGGAUGGAUUCGGGGCGUACUGUGCAAGACCUUUGCCAGAGCCUGAGCAAUUUCCAUCUCUACUCAGCUGGAUGGGCGUGGGGUGAAUAAAUUCAUUCAGUUCAUUGUUGCUCCACAGCUAACAAUAAAACUGGGAGUUGGGUCCA
rnacentral:lncRNA from 13 species